rnacentral:rRNA from 1 species
UACGUAGGGUGCAAGCGUUAAUCGGAAUUACUGGGCGUAAAGCGUGCGCAGGCGGCUUUGCAAGACAGAUGUGAAAUCCCCGGGCUCAACCUGGGAACUGCAUUUGUGACUGCAAGGCUAGAGUACGGUAGAGGGGGAUGGAAUUCCGCGUGUAGCAGUGAAAUGCGUAGAUAUGCGGAGGGACACCGAUGGCGAAGGCAAUCCCCUGGACCUGUACUGACGCUCAUGCACGAAAGCGUGGGGAGCAAACAGG